UACAGAGGGUGCGAGCGUUGUCCGGAAUCACUGGGCGUAAAGCGUGCGCAGGCGGUUCUCCAAGUCCGUUGUGAAAGCCCCGGGCUCAACCUGGGAAUGGCAGUGGAAACUAGGGGACUUGAAUCUGGCAGAGGGGGGUGGAAUUCCACGUGUAGCAGUGAAAUGCGUAGAGAUGUGGAGGAACACCGAUGGCGAAGGCAGCCCCCUGGGCUGAGAUUGACGCUCAGGCACGAAAGCGUGGGGAGCAAACAGG
rnacentral:rRNA from 1 species